rnacentral:rRNA from 1 species
AUUGAACGCUGGCAGCAGGCUUAACACAUGCAAGUCGAGCGGAGAUGAGGUGCUUGCACCUUAUCUUAGCGGCGGACGGGUGAGUAAUGCUUAGGAAUCUGCCUAUUAGUGGGGGACAACAUUCCGAAAGGAAUGCUAAUACCGCAUACGCCCUACGGGGGAAAGCAGGGGAUCUUCGGACCUUGCGCUAAUAGAUGAGCCUAAGUCGGAUUAGCUAGUUGGUGGGGUAAAGGCCUACCAAGGCGACGAUUUGUAGCGGGUCUGAGAGGAUGAUCCGCCACACUGGGACUGAGACACGGACCAGACUCCUACGGGAGGCAGCAGUGGGGAAUAUUGGACAAUGGGCGGAAGCCUGAUCCAGCCAUGCCGCGUGUGUGAAGAAGGCCUUUUGGUUGUAAAGCACUUUAAGCGAGGAGGAGGCUACCUGGAUUAAUACUCUAGGAUAGUGGACGUUACUCGCAGAAUAAGCACCGGCUAACUCUGUGCCAGCCGCCGCAGUAACAC